UACGAAGGUCCCGAGCGUUGUUCGGAAUCACUGGGCGUAAAGGGAGCGUAGGCGGCGUGGUAAGUCAGAUGUGAAAUCCCGGGGCUCAACCCCGGAACUGCAUCCGAUACUGCCAUGCUAGAGGAUUGGAGAGGUAGCUGGAAUUCUUGGUGUAGCAGUGAAAUGCGUGGAGAUCAAGAGGAACACCCGUGGCGAAAGCGAGCUACUGGACAAUAUCUGACGCUGAGGCUCGAAGGCCAGGGGAGCAAACGGG
rnacentral:rRNA from 1 species